AUGAACGCUAGCUACAGGCUUAACACAUGCCCGUCGCGGGGCAGCAUGGGGGUUGCUUGCAAUCCCCGAUGGCGACCGGCGCACGGGUGAGUAACGCGUAUCCAACCUGCCCUUCACCACGGGAUAACCCGGCGAAAGUCGGACUAAUACCGUAUGUUGUCCAUUGACGGCAUCCGAUUUGGACGAAAGGUUUGGCGGUGAAGGAUGGGGAUGCGUCCGAUUAGCUGGACGGCGGGGUGACGGCCCACCGUGGCGACGAUCGGUAGGGGUUCUGAGAGGAAGGUCCCCCACACUGGAACUGAGACACGGUCCAGACUCCUACGGGAGGCAGCAGUGAGGAAUAUUGGUCAAUGGGCGUAAGCCUGAACCAGCCAAGUAGCGUGCAGGAUGACGGCCCUAUGGGUUGUAAACUGCUUUUAUGCGGGGAUAAAGUGGCCCACGUGUGGGUUUUUGCAGGUACCGCAUGAAUAAGGACCGGCUAAUUCCGUG
rnacentral:rRNA from 1 species